rnacentral:rRNA from 1 species
CUUGAGCCGUGGCUUUCGGAGCUAACGCGUUAAGUAGACCGCCUGGGGAGUACGGUCGCAAGAUUAAAACUCAAAUGAAUUGACGGGGGCCCGCACAAGCGGUGGAGCAUGUGGUUUAAUUCGAUGCAACGCGAAGAACCUUACCUACUCUUGACAUCCAGAGAACUUUCCAGAGAUGGAUUGGUGCCUUCGGGAACUCUGAGACAGGUGCUGCAUGGCUGUCGUCAGCUCGUGUCGUGAGA